rnacentral:rRNA from 1 species
UACCAGCUCUCCGAGUUGUAGGGAUGAUUAUUGGGCUUAAAGCGUCCGUAGCUGGCUUAGCAAGUCUCCUGUUAAAUUCAGCGACCUAAUCGUUGAGCCGCGGGAGAUACUACUAGGCUAGGAGGCGGGAGAGGUCGACGGUACUUUCGGGGUAGGGGUGAAAUCCUAUAAUCCCGGGAGGACCACCAGUGGCGAAGGCUGUCGACUAGAACGCGCUCGACGGUGAGGGACGAAAGCUGGGGGGAGCGAACCGGACUAGAUACCCGGGUAGUCCCAGCUGUAAACUAUGCGGGCUAGGUGUUGGGGUGGCUACGGGCCACUUCAGUGCCGCAGGGAAGCCAUUAAGCUCGCCGCCUGGGGAGUACGGCCGCAAGGCUGAAACUUAAAGGAAUUGGCGGGGGAGCACCACAAGGCGUGAAGCUUGCGGUUC